rnacentral:lncRNA from 1 species
UACAAAUCCAGUAAGUGUUUUUUAAAGUCCGACACAUUUUUGAUGAACGAAAUUACGUCCUCCACGGAUACGUGUACAUACAGAAGUUCUUAGUAUUUAAGUGACAGUUAGCAAACUUUGCUUUUGAUGUAUCAAUUUGCGUCAAAUUGUAUAGCUGUAUGAAAUUUAUGUCUUGAUAUUGUUUUAGUUUCGUUUAAAACGCAUCCCAAGUUUUAAUGUUUUU